CCUGGGCAGGCAUAUAAAGGGCCCAGCAGGGGGAGGCACCACACAGACACCUCCCUCUGCACCUGCUCCUGCGACCACUCCACUCCACCUCCAGAACCAUGGGCUGCUCUGGCUGUUCCGGGGGCUGCGGCUCCAGCUGUGGGGGCUGCGGCUCCAGCUGCUGUGUGCCCGUGUGCUGCUGCAAGCCCGUGUGCUGCUGUGUGCCCGCCUGCUCCUCCAGCUGUGGCUCCUGUGGGGGCUGUGGCUCGUGUGGGGGCUCCAAGGGGGGCUGUGGCUCGUGUGGGGGCUCCAAGGGAGGCUGUGGCUCCUGUGGGGGCUCCAAGGGGGGCUGUGGCUCCUGUGGGGGCUCCAAGGGGGGCUGUGGCUCCUGUGGGGGCUCCAAGGGGGGCUGUGGCUCCUGUGGGGGCUCCAAGGGGGGCUGUGGCUCCUGUGGGGGCUCCAAGGGCGGCUGUGGCUCCUGUGGGGGCUCCAAGGGGGGCUGUGGCUCCUGUGGCUGCUGUCAGUCCAGCUGUUGCAAACCCUGCUGCUGCCAGUCCAGCUGUUGCAAACCCUGCUGCUCCCAGUCCAGCUGCUGUGUGCCCGUGUGCUGCCAGUGCAAGGUCUGAGGAUGCUUGUCCCGGGCCUCAGGAGGCCCACGUGCAGGCCCUGAUACAUCCUCAACACCAGAAGCAGAACUCCAAGCCCACACCUGGCUUCACCUUAGAGUCACUCUCGUGGUCCCUCCUCCUCACCCCUGUAGUGUCCUGGGUGAGGGUCCCCUCCCCUGCCUGUCCCAAGCCACACCUCCAGCAGGGACCAAAGGGACCACAGUCACUUGGUGCUCCGUCCUCCACCAGUCCUGACAGCGCUUUGUCCCUGCAGGAUGCCGCAGCCCCGCCCACACGCACACCCACACCUGAGGAGCCCUCCCAGGAGACCCCUCCCCAGUGCUGGGGGCUGCCCCCAGGCUGCCUGUGGGUACCCUCUCUGGAAAGUUCUCUGUGUUGUUCCCUGUCUGCCAGCAGCCUGCCCUGGGGCCUCCUCCUCCCUGUGGUUCAUGGCUCCUCACCUGAGCUGCCCCCCCACACUCCUCUCUGUCUCACAGCGGGAUUCUUUGUUUGCUCAAAGAACCAAACCUGCUGGCAUCAAUGGACCGGACCCCCUCCAACCCCAGGGGUCCUUAGAGCAAGCGGCAGGGGUCUUGGAAAGGAAGCAGCCCUGUUUUCCCUGCGGCCGGCAGGAGCCCCAGGCUGCCCAGCCCCCUUGCGGCCUCCCUGCUGGAGCAGUUUCCUUGCAUGUGCACGCCCUCCUCCCUCGCGGGGAGCGGAGGGGGUGGUGUCCCAGCACAGGGCUCCGCUCGGGAGCUCCUGGUGUGCAGGGAUUCCCUGUCCCGUCGCAGCCACAUGCAAAGCCGAAGUGCAGGACGAGCUCCAGGGACAGCACCUCGCCUUCCUCCUCCUCCUCCUCCUCAUACCCCACCCUGCCCACCCAAGGAUUUGCACCCUGACCUCUUACCAGUGUGCUUCCUUCACCCGCCAUGGCGACGUGGAGAGAAACCAAAUGGCCGGUGCUGUAGCGUAGUAGGCUAAGACUCUGCUUCCGGUGCCAGCAUCCCAUAUGGGCACAGGUUCGAGUCUCAGCAGCUCCACAUCCGAUCCAGCUCUCUGCUAUGGCCUGGGAAAGCAGUGGAAGAUGGCCCAAGUGCUUGGGCCCCUGCACCUGCGUGGGAGACCCGGGAGAAACUCCUGGCUCCUGGCUUUGGAUCUGCCCAGCUCCAGUCAUUGCAACCAUUUGGGGAGUGAACCAGCAGAUGGAAGACCUCUCUCUGUCUCUCCCUGUUUCUAUCUGUGGCUCUGCCUCUCAAAUAAAUGAAUAAAAUCUUAAAAAAAAUAUUCUUUA
rnacentral:lncRNA from 1 species